rnacentral:rRNA from 1 species
GACGAACGCUGGCGGCGUGCUUAACACAUGCAAGUCGAACGGAAAGGCCCCUUUGGGGGUACUCGAGUGGCGAACGGGUGAGUAACACGUGAGUAACCUGCCCUUGACUUCGGGAUAACUUCAGGAAACUGGGGCUAAUACCGGAUAGGAAUCCUUGCUGCAUGGUGGGGGUUGGAAAGCUUCGGCGGUUUUGGAUGGACUCGCGGCUUAUCAGCUUGUUGGUGGGGUAGUGGCUUACCAAGGCUUUGACGGGUAGCCGGCCUGAGAGGGCGACCCGCGACAUUGGGACUGAGAUACGGCCCAGACUCCUACGGGAGGCAGCAGGGGGGAAUAUUGCACGAUGGGCGGAAGCCUGAUGCAGCAACGCCGCGGGCGGGAUGACGGCCUUAGGGUUGUAAACCGCUUUCAGCAGGGGCGAAGCUUGUGGUGACGGUACCUGAAGAAGAAGCACCGGCUAACUACGUG